CUGGAAGCUAUGGAAAUCCUAAUGCCAAUUAUGCUGCAAAUCCUUACAAUGUUGGAUACAGCAUGAAUCAAGUAUGCUUUGUUUUCUGAGACAUUCUCUUUUGUAUCCUUAUUUCAAUCCGCGUCUCAGAUGGCAUCUUUAUCUCAGGCAAAUGCUACCGAUUCUGGUUCUCAGUAUGGAGCUGGUGCGGCGCACAGUUUCUGGGGCGCCUAUGACAUGCAAAGAGCUGCAGGACGGAGAUGACUGCCGACAUCCUCCUCCUUUUUCUUCUUAAAUCGGUCCUGUUAGCGAAGUACCAAACGCAGAUUUCUGGCACAAACUGAAUUUCUAUUUCUGUGCAACGUUGAUUUAUGGCUAGUCAGAUAUGCCUUGUGUAUUUGUUGACCUUCAUCUGAGUGAGUUACAUGCUCAAGCAUGUUACGGUAAUCUAGGUUACUGCAAAUUUGCAUUUUGUGUACAUGUGCUCUUUCACCUAAUGCAGUUGUCAUUACUUUGUUCACUACAAGCAUCUUUUGUUGUGUUGCCGUUACCAUUGAUGUAACAAAAAGCUGACUUGGGAUGCCUCGUGUCAGUAAGAACCUGAGUGGUGAUCAACGACUAAUGGUGACACAAGUUAAAUCCACUGGCUCCUCUUUUUUUCUUCUACCUCAAGAACAAUGGUGUAGAAUCAUAUCCAAUCAUUGGAUCAUGAGAGGAGAAAGGAAAUAGUAUAGUAGUGCUGGCAUACACUGACUAAAAUUUGUGUCACCGAAAGCAUUGGCGUAUUAGGCGAUGCAACGUGGCCAUAUCAGAAGGCCAGGCCAAAUAUUAGACAACAAGAAGCAAAACCAAUCAAUAAAGUACAGUAGCAUAGUAGCAAAAUCAUUUACACUGGAAAGGAAGCAGCUCACAUUGCAAUCUGGCAUGUUCUGAACGCGUGAGAGGUGCAAGAUAAAUAUAGUACAACAAACAAAUACCAAGUUCUUGCAGAGAAAACAGUGCGAAUCUAGGUACAUGACAACUAGAAGCAUUAGAAACUAAGUCGCCGACUAUGCCUGUGGGAAGACUUUAUUCGGGGGGAUAUUCUCGCGCCUCUCGACAUAGCCAGCCGGAAACCACCCUGCCUUUCCUCUGCAUUCCCCUUCCGCCCAACCAUUGGGAGCAAUCUG
rnacentral:lncRNA from 1 species